AACGCACCUUGCGCUCUAUGGCAAUCCGUAGAGCAUGCCUGUUUGAGUGCCAUGAAAUCUCCCACCACAAGCGGUUUUUAUGAAACGGCUUGGCGGACGGGGUCUUGAUGGGCGCCGCUGCCUGUGCUUGACCACAGGCUCGCCCGAAAUGCAUGAGCGCCUUGGGACACUUUGCAUCCGCCUCUCUUGUUGGGAGGAGGCGGCCAAGCAGUGUUUCUCCGGGCAUAGCAUGGUACGUGUUUUGCUAUGUCGCCUAAUGGAGGAUGUUUGCUUGGGUCUGCGUGUGCUUAACUGCCUCUGUGCACAUCCCGAUGUCACUUCUGGUCUCAAAGCGGGUAAGAUGACCCGCUGAACUU
rnacentral:misc_RNA from 1 species